rnacentral:rRNA from 1 species
UAAGAGCAAACGGUGGAUGCCUUGGCAUCUGGAGCCGAUGAAGGACGUAGAAAUCUGCGAUAAGCCUCGGGGAGCUGAUAAUCGAGCCUCGAUCCGAGGAUUUCCGAAUGGGGAAACCCCGCCAGGCGUUUUGCGACCUGGUGACUCCCGCCUGAAUAUAUAGGGCGGGUAGAGGGAACGUGGGGAAGUGAAACAUCUCAGUACCCGCAGGAAGAGAAAAUAAAGUAAUGAUUCUGUGAGUAGUGGCGAGCGAAAGCGGAAGAGACUAAACCUG